rnacentral:ncRNA from 2 species
AUAAUGAUACUCCCGUCCAGUCACAGUCCGAGUGGUAGCCAGUCCACCGCAGGCAAUGAGGGCGGCUCUGUCAGAACGAGACAGUUGGGGGUGAAACUCCCGUG